UGUUCGUUGAGCGAAGCGGAUUUUUUUUUAGGUGAAAAAAGUCAAGUACUCUCUAACAAACUGAAUAGAACGGCUGAAGACGUCUUUACAAUGGUAUAUGAAAAUGACUUAUUUAUUGCCGGAGUGACUGUUUUGCGUUUUCCCCAAAGCUCAUUCUUGCAUUGAUUAACAUAGGAAAAGCAAUAGGCAGCAACAGUUAAAUGUUAUAUUAUAACACGGCCUCUGAUUUUCACUUGGAUCUUCAUUCUAAGUAUUGUUUGUGAACAAUAUUUUGGGAGACACUAUUUCCCAUAAGGAUCGUUUCAUAUCCUUUUUUAACGUCUUAAUCUGGAAGACCUAGAAUUCCGUUCUUGGUCAUCUUUCCGCAGUCAUCCUCAGUCACUCCUAACAGUGCGUCGUGGUAAAUCGCUUUAAGGAGAUGAUCAAUAUGUGAACUGUUUUAAACGAUCUCUCAACCAGAUUUAAAGGGGAGUCAGUGUGAAACGCUGGGACACGUUUACCCACGGAUAAAACGGUAGGAACAAGACUCUACUUAAGAACCCGUUCGUUCGUGCAGUUCGUUCGUCUGUCAGAAUGACGAGAAGGGAGACCAGUAGAAAACAAUCAGCAGAAUUGCAGAGAGAAGAAAAGGUGUGAAAUUCAAGAUUCUGAAUGGAAGCAUAGGUUCUCCCUGAAUACGGACAUCUCCAAACCAGAGAAAGUAUAUACAAAGGAAAAGUAUUCUCAUCUGCACAGAUUGGUUUGUCUUUCUAUUUUUUCCCCCAAAAUAUAAUGGGAAAUUUACAAGCUGCUGACCAGGGGAAUUAAGAAUUAAUAAGGGUACAGACAACCCGACACCGGAACCAAAUCUUUCCGAUUGUUUUUCCUCUCUUGAACCCAUAUAAUACUGGACAUACCACAAGCACUGCAGACCCAAUUAACUCUGGUGCGAACUCUGGUAGUCAAAGAAGACAUUCCAGUUCGGGUCCCACAAUGAACUCAUAAGAGUCAUUUAAAAAAUGCUUGUUUUUAGCACUGUAAAUCUGCAUAAUUCAACCAACAGCUUGUAAUUGCCAAAAAAUGUCAAGCCCAUCGGUGUAGGUAAGGCUUCAGUCAAUAGACGGAUUCCAUUGGACGAUCUGAAGACCGCGCUCUGUAACACUGGUCUCUGUUGUGGGUGGAUGCUGUAAACACAAAUUAACAGAUGGACUAAAAGAGGGAAAGAGAGACUGCAGAAUCAAUUGGACAAAAAUAGAAACAAAUAAACACACAGAACUGGACAACUCGUAUCUUUCCGGAAAAAGGAAAGACAGGCAUCGAACAAGGCAGUGAAAAAGGAAGUCGCAGAAUAGAAGACAAGCUCAAAGGAGAGUGAGAAAUGGACAGUACUGCCUAACCCUAGAAAAGGGCCGUUUUUAAUCUGAGCUCCUGGCCAGUUAAAACUAGCCAGCCUUACAUGCUUUCUGUGUUUAGUUUUUUUUUUUUUUUU